rnacentral:tRNA from 1 species
GGUUUAUUAGCUUAGUUGGUUAAAAUAUUGUACUAAUAACAUGAAAGUCACAGGUUUGAUUCCUGUUUGAACCG